AGAGUUUGAUCCUGGCUCAGGAUGAACGCUAGCGGUGCGCCUAACACAUGCAAGUCGAGCGAUCGAGCCGGACCAAACACCCUUCGGGGUGGGCGGAUCGGUCACGGAGCGGCGGACUGGUGAGUAACGCGUAGCUAACCUGCCCUCUUGAUGGGGACAACCACUCGAAAGGGUGGCUAAUACCCAAUGUUGCUCGAGGUCGAUGGACCUUUAGCCAAAGGCGGUUUUGCCGUCGCAAGGGGAGGGGGCUGCGUCCUAUUAGCUUGUUGGUGGGGUAAUGGCCUACCAAGGCGAUGAUGGGUAGCUGGUCUGAGAGGAUGGCCAGCCACAUUGGGACUGAAAUACGGCCCAGACUCCUAUGGGAGGCAGCAGUGGGGAAUCUUUCGCAAUGGGCGAAAGCCUGACGGAGCGACACCGCGUGGGGGAUGAAGGUCUUCGGGUUGUAAACCCCUUUUCUAAGGGAAGAAUAAAGGCGGGAGGAACUGCCCGCCCGAUGACGGUACCUUAGGAAUAAGCAUCGGCUAACUUCGUGCCAGCAGCCGCGGUAAGACCGAAGGAUGCGAGCGUUAUUCCGGAAUUACUGGGCGUAAAGGGCGUCUAGGCGGUCAGGUAUGUCACCUGUGAAAGCCCUCGGCUCAACCGAGGAAAGUCGGGUGAAACUGCUUGGCUUGGGUUCAGGAGAGGAGGGUGGAACUCACAGAGUAGCGGUGGAAUGCGUAGAUACUGUGAGGUACCCCGAUGGCGAAGGCAACCCUCUGGCCUGAUACCGACGCUGAAGCGCGAAAGCGUGGGGAGCAAAGGGGAUUAGAUACCCCCGUAGUCCACGCCCCAAACGAUGUUCACUGGGUGUCGGUCGCUAUAUACAGAUCGGUGCCGAAGCUAACGCAUUAAGUGAACCGCCUGGGGAGUACGGCCGCAAGGCUAAAACUCAAGAGAAUUGACGGGGGCCCGCACAAGCGGUGGAGCACGUGGUUUAAUUCGGUGAUAAGCGAAGAACCUCACCUGGGCUUGACAUGCUAGUGGUAGRAACCGGAAACGGGGACGACCCUCCCUUCGGGGUAGGGAACUAGCACAGGUGAUGCAUGGCUGUCGUCAGCUCGUGUCGUGGGACGUUGGGUUAAGUCCCGAAACGAGCGCAACCCCUGUCGCCAGUUGCCAGCGGAUAAUGCCGGGGACUCUGGCGAGACUGCUGGUGAAUAGCCGGAGGAAGGAGGGGAUGACGUCAAGUCAUCAUGUCCCUUAUGCCCAGGGCGACACACAUGCUACAAUGGGAGGUACAAUGGGUCGCAAUCUCGUAAGGGGGAGCCAAUCCAGAAAAACCUCUCUCAGUUCGGAUUGAGGUCUGCAACUCGACCUCAUGAAGCCGGAAUCGCAAGUAAUCGCAGGUCAGCCACACUGCGGUGAAUAUGUACUCGGGCCUUGUACACACCGCCCGUCACACCAACCGAGUGGGGGGUACUUGAAGUCGCCCUUUUGAGGGCGCCGAGGGUAACCUUCGCGAGAGGGGUGAAGUCGUAACAAGGUAACC
rnacentral:rRNA from 1 species